UACGUAGGGUGCGAGCGUUGUCCGGAAUUAUUGGGCGUAAAGAGCUCGUAGGCGGUGUGUCACGUCGGCCGUGAAAACCUGGGGCUCAACUCUGGGCGUGCGGUCGAUACGGGCAUCACUUGAGUUCGGCAGGGGAGACUGGAAUUCCUGGUGUAGCGGUGAAACGCGCAGAUAUCAGGAGGAACACCGGUGGCGAAGGCGGGUCUCUGGGCCGAUACUGACGCUGAGGAGCGAAAGCAUGGGUAGCGAACAGG
rnacentral:rRNA from 1 species